UCAGAUGAACGCUGGCGGCGCGGCUAACCCAUGCAGUCGAGCGGAUGAAGGGAGCUUGCUCCUGGAUUCAGCGGCGGACGGGUGAGUAAUGCCUAGGAAUCUGCCUGGUAGUGGGGGAUAACGUCCGGAAACGGGCGCUAAUACCGCAUACGUCCUGAGGGAGAAAGUGGGGGAUCUUCGGACCUCACGCAUCAGAUGAGCCUAGGUCGGAUUAGCUAGUUGGUGGGGUAAAGGCCUACCAAGGCGACGAUCCGUAACUGGUCUGAGAGGAUGAUCAGUCACACUGGAACUGAGACACGGUCCAGACUCCUACGGGAGGCAGCAGUGGGGAAUAUUGGACAAUGGGCGAAAGCCUGAUCCAGCCAUGCCGCGUGUGUGAAGAAGGUCUUCGGAUUGUAAAGCACUUUAAGUUGGGAGGAAGGGCAGUAAGUUAAUACCUUGCUGUUUUGACGUUACCAACAGAAUAAGCACCGGCUAACUUCGUGCCAGCAGCCGCGGUAAUACGAAGGGUGCAAGCGUUAAUCGGAAUUACUGGGCGUAAAGCGCGCGUAGGUGGUUCAGCAAGUUGGAUGUGAAAUCCCCGGGCUCAACCUGGGAACUGCAUCCAAAACUACUGAGCUAGAGUACGGUAGAGGGUGGUGGAAUUUCCUGUGUAGCGGUGAAAUGCGUAGAUAUAGGAAGGAACACCAGUGGCGAAGGCGACCACCUGGACUGAUACUGACACUGAGGUGCGAAAGCGUGGGGAGCAAACAGGAUUAGAUACCCUGGUAGUCCACGCCGUAAACGAUGUCGACUAGCCGUUGGGAUCCUUGAGAUCUUAGUGGCGCAGCUAACGCGAUAAGUCGACCGCCUGGGGAGUACGGCCGCAAGGUUAAAACUCAAAUGAAUUGACGGGGGCCCGCACAAGCG
rnacentral:rRNA from 1 species